UGUGGUUCAUGACUGGGGUGAAGUCGUAACAAGGUAGCCGUAUCGGAAGGUGCGGCUGGAUCACCUCCUUUAGAGUGAUCAAGCGCCGCUGGGCGCCCACACAAGACACCUGUAACCAGAAGCAGCGCCCUGCGGGGCUGUAGCUCAGCUGGGAGAGCACCUGCUUUGCAAGCAGGGGGUCACCGGUUCGAUCCCGGUCAGCUCCACCACAACCGNUGCGUGGCGUGGCCAAGUUGAUCGGUGCUACGACGAUAGAGCGUGAGAAGACGCAACGGGUCUGUAGCUCAGGUGGUUAGAGCGCACCCCUGAUAAGGGUGAGGCCGGUGGUUCGAGUCCUCCCAGACCCACCGACUUCUGGAUAGUGCAUACAG
rnacentral:rRNA from 1 species